GACGAACGCUGGCGGCGUGCUUAACACACGCAAGUCGAACGGAAAAGCCCUGCUUUUGUGGGAUGCUCGAGUGGCGAACAGGUGAGUAACACGUGAGUAACCUGCCCUUUACUUUGGGAUAACUUCAUGGAACUGGGGCUAAUACCGGAUAUGAGCACCUUCUACAUGGGUGGGAUUGGAAAAUUUCGGAGGUUGGGGAUGCACGCGCGGUUUAUCAGCUUGUUGGUGGGGUGGUGGCUUACCAAGGCAUUGACGGGUAGCCGGCCUGAGAGGGUGACCGGCCACAUUGGGACAGAGAUGCGGCCCGGACUCCUACGGGAGGCAGCAGUGGGGAAUAUUGCACAAUGGGCGGAAGCCUGAUGCAGCAACGCCGCGUGCGGGAUGACGGCCUUCGGGUUGUAAACCGCUUUAGCCUGUGACGAAGCGUGAGUGACGGUAAUGGGUAAAGAAGCACCGGCUAACUACGUG
rnacentral:rRNA from 1 species